rnacentral:lncRNA from 1 species
UUUUUUUUUUUAAUGAUCAAGUAAAGGAGUAGAUAGAAUCGUCUUCGUCAGUCAAGUGGCAACAUGGCCCAACCGUGGGCACCUUUUAGGAAAUGACGUCAUAUGUCUCCUUCACUUUUUCCCCGGGCAGCAGAUUUUGUAAGUGUUUUAAGGAUUUCCUUGGUUCUUUUUGUAUGGUCAUGGAGCGCUGAAUAUUUUUAAUAGGGAUUUUUUUUCUUAAAGAAAUAGUCCUCAUUAUAAAAGUCAUUUCUGUCUUUAUAACUCAUUCAAGAACAACUGGAAAAGCUGGCAGAUUGAAAAAAAAAAAGCAAUCCUGUGACUUCCCAAGGGUUGACAGCAAUGUUGUCAGAUUGGAAGCAGUCUGGCUGAGAGCCAAUAGGUAACUCACCGUGGGUGACUUCCUUCCUAGAGCCCUUCCGUUUCCCCUCAUUCCACACCCCAUGCCUUUCACUGAUAAAAAUGCUACCAGUUUGGUUAAGAGACAUACAUGGUAGAGUCAAGCACUCCCUGGGCUUUGGAGAUUGGAAAGCGAGAGUAGCUUCCUUGAAGGAAAAAGAUGAGAGAGAGAGAGAGAGAGAGAGAGAGAGAGAGAGAGAGAGAGAGAGAGAGAGAUGAGCCAGAGAGCCACUCAGUAUGCCCGAGUGGUUCUUCACUUUCCCAAGCACUCACUCCAGCUGCACCCAUGGGUGUCGCCUUGCUUGAAGAUCAAACUUUCUACAGCCUUAUAGGUUUCUAGAUAGUGUCUCCUUUUUGUGUAUGUCUUGUUUCUCGUUGUUCGAGUUUUCCUAUGUCAGUGCUUCCAUACUCAUUGUCCUGCCCCCUCGGUGUCUUCCAGAGGUAGGGCUACUUCUUUAUGUUUCCAUAUUCUAAGUUUUCACCCCCACUUGGGCAUUUUGGAAGCUAGUGAGCUAGGGGGUUUUCUAGGGUGUCAGGAAACCUAGCUGACCUCAUCGGGUGCAAUACUAGCUAAGUUAAAGCUAGAAGCCUACACUGUCACUUUACUGAGAUUUCUGAGUCUACGUUUCAUAUUGCCUUAAUGUAGCAGUAAUGUGUUUAUGCAUUUGUUUCUUUGCACAGACAUUUUGUCAGAUAUUAAAACUCUACUUUUUUAUGGCACAUAUUAGCAUAUAAGCCUUUAUUCCAAGAGGUAUUUAUUUUUUCACUUGUAAAAAAAAUAAUGUUUCCACAUUUAAAAAAAAAAAAACUCUGUUAUAUCCUAGAGGACUUCUGUCUUUUAUAUUCAGGAUAAUAAAGACUUUAAAGC